AUUGAACGCUGGCGGCAGGCCUAACACAUGCAAGUCGAACGGUAGCACAGAGAGCUUGCUCUCGGGUGACGAGUGGCGGACGGGUGAGUAAUGUCUGGGAAACUGCCCGAUGGAGGGGGAUAACUACUGGAAACGGUAGCUAAUACCGCAUAACGUCGCAAGACCAAAGUGGGGGACCUUCGGGCCUCACACCACCGGAUGUGCCCAGAUGGGAUUAGCUAGUAGGUGGGAUAAUGGCUCACCUAGGCGACGAUCCCUAGCUGGUCUGAGAGGGUGGCCAGCCACACUGGAAAUGAGACACGGUACAGAAUCCUACGGGAGGCAGCAGUGGGGAAUAUUGCACAAUGGGCGCAAGCCUGAUGCAGCCAUGCAGCGUGUAUGAAGAAGGCCUUCGGGUUGUAAAGUACUUCCAGCGGGGAGGAAGGCGGUGAAGUUAAUAGCUUCACCGAUUGACGUUACCCGCAGAAGAAGCACCGGCUAACUCCGUGCCAGCCGCCGCAGUAA
rnacentral:rRNA from 1 species